rnacentral:rRNA from 1 species
AACGAACGCUGGCGGCAGGCUUAACACAUGCAAGUCGAACGCCCCGCAAGGGGGGUGGCAGCCGGGUGAGUAACGCGUGGGAACAUACCCUUUCCUGCGGAAUAGCUCCGUGAAACUGGAAUUAAUACCGCAUACGCCCUACGGGGGAAAGAUUUAUCGGGGAAGGAUUGGCCCGCGUUGGAUUAGCUAGUUGGUGGGGUAAAGGCCUACCAAGGCGACGAUCCAUAGCUGGUCUGAGAGGAUGAUCAGCCACAUUGGGACUGAGACACGGCCCAAACUCCUACGGGAGGCAGCAGUGGGGAAUAUUGGACAAUGGGCGCAAGCCUGAUCCAGCCAUGCCGCGUGAGUGAUGAAGGCCUUAGGGUUGUAAAGCUCUUUAACCGAUGAAGAUAAUGACGGUAGUCGGAGAAGAAGCCCCGGCUAACUUCGUG